rnacentral:rRNA from 1 species
GAUGAACGCUGGCGGCGUGCCUAAUACAUGCAAGUCGAGCGAACAGACGAGGAGCUUGCUCCUCUGACGUUAGCGGCGGACGGGUGAGUAACACGUGGAUAACCUACCUAUAAGACUGGGAUAACUUCGGGAAACCGGAGCUAAUACCGGAUAAUAUAUUGAACCGCAUGGUUCAAUAGUGAAAGACGGUUUUGCUGUCCCUUAUAGAUGGAUCCGCGCCGCAUUAGCUAGUUGGUAAGGUAACGGCUUACCAAGGCGACGAUGCGUAGCCGACCUGAGAGGGUGAUCGGCCACACUGGAACUGAGACACGGUCCAGACUCCUACGGGAGGCAGCAGUAGUGAAUCUUCCGCAAUGGGCGAAAGCCUGACGGGGCAACGCCUCGUGAGUGAGGAAGGUCUUCGGAUCGUAAAACGCUGUUAUUAUGGAAGAACAAAUGUGUAAGUAACUAUGCACGUCUUGACGGUACCUAAUCAGAAAGCCACGACUAACUACGUG